GAUGAACGCUGGCGGCGUGCUUAACACAUGCAAGUCGAACGAUGAAGCCCAGCUUGCUGGGUGGAUUAGUGGCGAACGGGUGAGUAACACGUGAGUAACCUGCCCUUGACUCUGGGAUAAGCCUGGGAAACUGGGUCUAAUACUGGAUAUGACUUCUCAUCGCAUGGUGGGGGGUGGAAAGAUUUAUUGGUCUUGGAUGGACUCGCGGCCUAUCAGCUUGUUGGUGAGGUAAUGGCUCACCAAGGCGACGACGGGUAGCCGGCCUGAGAGGGUGACCGGCCACACUGGGACUGAGACACGGCCCAGACUCCUACGGGAGGCAGCAGUGGGGAAUAUUGCACAAUGGGCGCAAGCCUGAUGCAGCGACGCCGCGUGGGGGAUGACGGCCUUCGGGUUGUAAACCUCUUUCAGUAGGGAAGAAGCGAGAGUGACGGUACCUGCAGAAGAAGCGCCGGCUAACUACGUG
rnacentral:rRNA from 1 species